AUCUUCAAACCCUAGAGUUCCCAAAGCCCAAAACCCUGAGGACAGUCGGGGAUUUCUCCGGCACUUCUUCAGGGACUUCCGUCGAUUUUUCGUCACUUCUUCAGAGGUAGUUGCUUCGCCGGCACUCUUUCCCCAAAUCCUCAAAUUUUAAAAUCAGAUUUGUGCUCGAAUCAGAGAAGCCAAAAAUCACCAUAGCCUGGUAAUUUUCUUAAUUCUUUUGGUCAUUUUACUGUUUUUGUUACCAAUUCUAUACGUUUUUACUGUGUUUUUUAGUUCUUGGCAAAAAGGUUCUUAAUUCAUGGAUGUAUAAUAUAAUUAAACGAAUCCGUUUAGGAAUUUUUGGUUUAGUAGAUUUUUAAUUGAAGACUAUAGAAGGAGGUUAGUUGAUUAGCUAGUGGCUUCUUAUAUGGUAGCACUCAACAUAUUAUUACUGAGAUUGUUGAAUCCUGCUUGUAGUAUCAAAUCUUUAGUUUAGAACUGUUAAAACAACUGAUCUGUGUGAUCCAUAUAGAUCUGGAUUAUGCAUCCGCAUUAUGUGAAUAUUUGGGCACUGAGACGGAAAAGUAUGUAAACUCUGAUAAUGUGUUUAUUAAAAAUUUGCUUGAACUUGAAAAUUUUAAGUGGUUAUAUCUUAACUUAAAAUUAAAUCUUUGCAAAAAGAUGAAAUUUGGAGAUUUUAUUGUUGGCAUUGAGAACGGGAGGAAGCUUCGGACAAUCAGUGUGGAUAUAUGUAGCUAAAUCCUAAACUUACUGUUCUGAAAAUAUUCUUUCUUUGUAAUCUGUUUAGUCCUGGUGUCUAACCUAAUCAGCCCUCUACUAUUUCAUAUGCUCAGUGCAGCAUUUGUGUAUGGUCCAAUGUGGCUUCAAAGUUAAAGAUGGCUUAUGUUUGUUUGUGAGGCACUUAACCUCUUGACAAAGUAAAAAGAUAUUAAUGGAAAUAUAACAGUGAUGUUCAUAAGUCUAUGUCGUGUCAUCCAUUUUAUUUUUUAUUGUUUCCUACUGUUGUGAAAACCCGUUUGUUCUUUUUGGUCGAAUCUUAAUCAGAGGAGCAGGUUAACAUUACUAUCUGCUGUAAGUAAUGCAGUAUGUAGCAGCUAGUCCGUGUGAUGAAUCUCCUGUGAUAAACGGAUGAGUAUAUCCGUGGAGUGAAUACUGAAGGAUCGUAUAGCUUGAAAACACCUACUGCAAGUUUUCUGUCAUUCAUCUUUUCAGGCAAGGAUUAAUCGAAUUGUGAGAUCAUAUAUUUCUUCCAUAUCUUUCACAUUUAAAGGUCCGGUAUUAUUCACAAGCUAAUUUUCUUGGUAAUCAACAUAAUAAGGCAAGGAAGCUGAAGCUUCUUGAUAAAUUGUACAACUAAAAUCUGGACAAGUUUAUUACUUCCUUCCUCAGCCUCACUACUUUGUUAUCUUUCUUGUUGCUGUUGAAUUUGCACCCAAGCUGAUUAAUUGAACAUGGUUGCUAAUUAAUUGUUUCAGUUACUUCAGUUGUGCUAUUCCUACAAUUGAAAAUUCUGCACUUUGUGAGCUGUUGUCCAGUGAUUGACUCGUUUAUUUGCAGAAAAUAUCCAAAACCAAUACAGAGAAUCAAAAUAGGUUGAAGUGUCUGCACACUGCUGGUAGAACACCCUUUGGAUGGUAAUAUCCUUUUUUUCUUCUGAAAUCACAAUUUUACUUCUUUUCUACAUUUUGGAUUAAUUAGUAAUUUCUGAAAACUACACAUGUAAGAUGAGCUUUCAGUUUAAUUCUUCAAUCUCUUCAAUCAACAUAGAAGUGCCAAAAUAUGCAAAUCGAAAAAUACAUUCAUGUCUUUGGAUUAAAAGGUAUGUCAGAAACAAAGCCAAUAAAAAAAUCUUCUUUCUACUAGUGCAAAUGUACUUUAAUUCUUUCUCUAGUUUGGUUUCCCGGUCGUGCAAGGCCAUUGAUGCUCAAUCCUGAAAUAUUGAAAUCAAACUGAAACACCUAUUUUAACAUAGUCACUACUCUAGUCUUCUUGUACCGUACAUAGACGCUAGUUUGCCGAAGUAACUCAAAUUACAUAUCAAACUACAUAAAGUUGUUGCCUUGCCAUUUUAAUUACAGUCGAUGACACAGCAAUCAGAAAUUGAUAGUGAUGCUCAACAGGAUAGGUUAUAUUACAUCUAGGACUGACUACAUCAUAAGAACAAUAUAUAUCAGCAAUUGAAAAAAAAAAUCUCACUGAAAUAAUUUUUCAGAUGAUUGUACAGAACUAUUUGUUGGGAUUAUUCACUUCUGACUAAUGGCACAAUUACUUAAACUAAUACUACUACAUACAAAAAUACAGAAAUUUUAAUGAAGAACCAACUCAAUUUUAAUGAAUAUUCUCACUGCCACUAUGAAGUAGAACUUGAGCAGUUAAUUAAAUGAGCAGGAACACAAAAGCUCCACAAGUAAACCGGAGGAUAAUAUUUUUCUCUAAGGCAUCUGUUUGCUGUGAUGGUGGGCCUGAUAUAUCCUCAGAGCUGUGCCGGCACUGAAGCUACAACACUAUGAAUAUGCUAUUAUCUCCCGUCUUUCACUAGAAAAGCAAGCUUCUGUUUGAGUGUUACUUUCUUUGUAUGUAUAGGCUUUUCUGUAAGAGGCAAUUCUUGUAUUUCAAUGGUGUACACUGUGGCUUAUUCAGUAGUUUACAUUUCAAUGGCAUACACACAAAAAUAGCUUGAUAGUUUGAAAGUCUUGGUCGUUAGUAAUAUUAUCAGAUUUUUAUAAUGUUGCGUAUAGUUUGUUGAGAUGAAUAAGUUGGAUUAAUAAAAGAAGAACGAAAACAGUUAAAUGCUUGAGUAUUCUUAGACCGGAUUCUGCUGAAGGGUAAUAACUUUAUUUAUCCUCUUUUGUAGGUGGAGUAGAUCAAGAAAUGGAUUAUGAAGACGAUGACGAACUAGACCUUACUUGAAAUGAAUUUUGUAUAAUUAUAGAUGAAUGUUCUAGGAAUCUUUUGUUACCAACAUUUUUGAAACUUAUUUGCUCUUUUGAAAUGUACUAAACUUAUGCACUCAUGGGGUAGAACAUUUGCUUUAUGGAUAAUUUUGUAUUAUUAAUAGUUUAAUUUUAUGAUAGUAUUUA
rnacentral:lncRNA from 1 species